UCCUCUUUCCUCACCCAGGUCUCUCCUCUUUACCUUUGAACCCAGGCCCAGCAGCCCAUCUCUGAUCUACAGAGGGUCUCCUCUUACCCCCGUCCCCUCGCAGGCCCCUAUGAUAGAUGACCAUCAGCAUGCCAAUACUGCACAAUAUUUCAAUUUCCUGCCCAGGAAGAGGAAUUUAAGGGGUUGAUUGAAGUUCAGAGGCACAGUGUGAUGCCUCCAGCUCCCAACCAGCCCCCAGCCUCGUACUGAAGACCCAAGAUCCAAACAUUCAGCCGAGAACAUUCCAGAAACCAGGUCCUCUCUGUGUCAACAAAACAACCCCUGCUGCCAUCGUCCUGCCUGACAGACUGCAGCGCAGAGGACACUGACAGGAGACCCAACAGCCUCUGUCCUGGGAAGAAAAAGAAGAGAGCAGAAGAGAAGACGGCCACUGUUUGCUGCUCGACUUUUGAAGCGUCUUUAUCGGGCUUGGCAGCGUGGUCCUGCGUGUCCAAGCCUCGUCGUGCUUUUCAUCCUUUGUGAUGUCCAAGGAUCAGUUAGUCUGAGUCUGAUGAAGGUCAGCGCUGAAUCCUGGCCUGCUAUUAGACCAGACCAAGAUGAAGUCUCUUCAUCAGGGAGUGGCAGGUUUUACGCUCACAAACGCACACACUUACACACCUCACAUCUGUGUUUAUUCACGUCCCUAAAUGCACGUGCACACACACACGCACAAUCUGCCUCACCCUCGCAUAGACAUAUGCAUACAAAAGCACACCUGUCAGGGUCUUUCCACUGUGUGAGCAAAAGCAAAGAAGUCUGGCCCCCCCUUUGUCUCUCUGUAUGUGGUAUCCCAUGUCUCUUAUAUUAAAGCAAAUCCAUUCAGUUCCCACUUUCUCAUCUGAAAUAAUGGAACGCGCAAUUUUCACAUUUAGACAAGCAAGGACACAUGCAG